GACAGAGGUGCCAAGCGUUAGGCGGAAUCACUGGGCUUAAAGCGUGUGUAGGCGGGGCUCUAAGUGCCUUGUGAAAUCCCACGGCUCAACCGUGGAACUGCUGGGCAUACUGGAGGUCUUGAGCCACCUAGGGGCGAGCGGAACGAAUGGUGGAGCGGUGAAAUGCGUAGAUAUCAUUCGGAACGCCAACGGUGAAAACAGCUCGCUGGGGGUGUGCUGACGCUGAGACACGAAAGCCAGGGGAUCAAACGGG
rnacentral:rRNA from 1 species